rnacentral:rRNA from 1 species
UCUGGCUCAGGAUGAACGCUAGCUACAGGCUUAACACAUGCAAGUCGAGGGGCAGCAGGACGAUAGCUUGCUAUGUUGCUGGCGACCGGCGCACGGGUGAGUAACGCGUAUCCAACCUUCCCCUUAGUAGGGCAUAGCCCGGUGAAAAUCGGAUUAAUACCCUAUGUUAUUCGUCGAGGACAUCUGAAGUGAAUCAAAGAUUUAUCGCUAAGGGAUGGGGAUGCGUCUGAUUAGGUAGUCGGCGGGGUAACGGCCCACCGAGCCCUCGAUCAGUAGGGGUUCUGAGAGGAAGGUCCCCCACACUGGUACUGAGACACGGACCAGACUCCUACGGGAGGCAGCAGUGAGGAAUAUUGGUCAAUGGGCGAGAGCCUGAACCAGCCAAGUAGCGUGCAGGAUGACGGCCCUAUGGGUUGUAAACUGCUUUUAUACGGGGAUAAAGUGAGGGACGUGUCCCUUAUUGUAGGUACCGUAUGAAUAAGGACCGGCUAAUUCCGUGCCAGCAGCCGC